CGUUUUGAUCUUUACAUCAUGUUGGAAUGUUUUUCCCUCAUCAAAAACAUACCUGGAGUUUUGCUUUGAUUCUUUCAUGCAAGUUAGAGAAAUCCUCUAAUCUUCCAUGCCAACCACUCAGCUGUGCAAAACGCCUGGGUGAAGCGAGCGCCACUUCUGAAACAUUCUAACAUUCAUGUUCAAAUAUAAGCAGAAACUACAAGCUGAGCUUCAGCCUCAUAGAGCAGACCUCCACCAGCACUCCUCCACUCAGCUCCUUCAGGAGAUUCAAUUAACAAACACCUGGUGGAAGUGGGCGUCUACUGAGCUCAUGAUAAGAGCUACCUGCUAGAGAAACACGGGAAAAAUGUUAUGAAAGGGUUAAUAGGGGAGCAACGUUGUGAUGACUUCCUGAAGGCGGAGUUUCAGAAAGAACAGGAGUUUUUAAAGAGACAGAAGUCCAAUUUCUCUUAAGUCAUAUUUGAUAUUUAUUAUGGUAGCAAUCUACUGGAUUGUAGCUGAGAUAGUCUGACUGGUACCAUGUUUACCUCUGACCACCACCAGCAGAUCAGGUUGGUGAAACGUCUUGCCCAAGGACACAGCGAUGAAGGCAGAGAGAACGGGGGCUCAAACCGUCAAACCACCAAUUACAAGCCAAACUCCUUCCUUCUUCAUCGCCCCAUGAGUUUCUAGACCAAAUGAUAUUCUGACGUCCCUGGAGGUGUGGAUCAGAGAGUCCCUGUGUCGCUCACUCCUAGCAAACAGCUACAUAUAAUCAGAGGCGGUGAGUGACAGUAGACCUGUAUAUAUAGACCCACCGAUCUGUCCACUCAGAGUUAUUCACCAACCAACAUCAUGACUGCAAGACCUGCUGUGCUGGGGCUCCUGAUCAUCUGUGUUGCAGCAGGCAUGGCUGGAUCAGCGAGAAAGGCUUCUUGUGGUGAUCCGGUGACUUGGAAAUGCAAAUCGAAUGUGCAUCCUGUGUGUGGAAGCGACGGAUAUAGUUAUGGCAAUGAGUGUUUCCUCUGCAACGAGAUACGUGGAUCCAAACAGGAAAUCUCGAUCGUCAAAGAUGGAUACUGCUGACCAGUAUGGUUGAUAAUAUCAACACUAUGAGGCAGCCCAGAAAAGUCCACUGUUGUCUCAUUGUAAUAAAGUCUAAGUUUGAUCAA